UUUCCUGGUCUAUGAAUUGGAAUUCAUUGGUCGAGGACUAGCUAUUUUAGUUUCUAUGGUGUAUUUAUAGCAGCAGGUCCUGUUUUUGUUGCUGCAGAGAAUACACUGACUGGACACUACUUGCUUUGCCAACACCUUUGAUAUACGCAGUCUUAAUGUUCAUAACAUAUGCUUCUGAAUCUGUUGGACCCUGUAGAUUGCCAGGUAUGGGAACUUGUUUUGGCUUUUUGCAAAUCUUGCGAGCAGUACUAUUGAGGUCCGUCUAAUGCCCUGUUUCUCUUUCUUUGCACCACAUAUCUUCAGAAUUGUGGGUUCAGCUAUAAGAAAAUGGUGGUCAUCUAUUAUAAUUGUGGAACUUCUAAGAGGUUGUUGUGUUAGUAUUUGAUAAUCUACACUUCUGUUGGUGGUCUAUCAUGUCAUGUUGCUUUGCACACGUUUGUGGUUCUUCUCCUGCUUGUUUGGCUGAAUAUGCAUAUUUAAAAGAGCUUUUAAAGUUGAAGAAGUGAAGGUUUCCUCUUACUGAGGUUAUUUUUACUGUUCUCUUUUUCCACUUUCAAAUUUUCUGCUUGCUCACUAUUUGGAGACACUGAUUCAAAGGCCAUUUCAUUUAAUUUUUCCUUCCUUUUCUGGAAGCUAUAUGGGCUAUAUGUUGCUUAAUAUUUUCGUGAACUUUAUCUUCAGAUGUCUGAACCUGUUCUAUACCAUGUAGCUCUUUAUGUUUGCAUCCCCUUGUUCACUUCACGGUUAGUAAAGGUUUUUGAGAGUUUCAUGCGGCAAUGCUAAAUUCAUUUCUAUGGUCAUUCAGAUGCUAUUUGAGCGCUACAGUUUUCAAUACAUAUGCAUCUGGUUUUUCCAUAUGCAUAGGUAGAGUGAGUGCUAGCUGCUUUGUCUCCGGGGACAUCUGGACAAAUGUCACAGAAAGGAAAAUACAUAUAGCAGAAAGUGACUGUGUCAAAUUUGUUCAAGAAAAUAGAAAAGAUUCAUAAAGCUUUCAAAUUUGUUCAAAUAAUGAGUGAAAGAUUCAUAAAGAUUCAUAAAGGGUGUUUGUGCUAAGGUAGCACUAUUGGUCUGCUGGUUGAUCUGCUUAUUCUGUAACACUCUUAGCCAGAAUUCUGUGCAUCGACAGCCUUUGGUUUAGUUACUGGUUUCCAACACCUCAAUACAGCUUUUGGUUUCGUUACAAAAUUUUGGGGGAGUUUUUCUUUCUCUUCUUCUGGUUUUGUGCUGUUUUCCUGAAGAAUGAUUGGGUGUUCUUUUUUUUUUUUUGUUUGGAUGAUAAUGAUUGAAAAACCAUAGAUGUUAUCUAACAUACAUGACUUUGUUUGGUAUUCCAGUUUAUCGGGCAAUUUUGGCAUCAUAUUACUGUAUUGUUGUUGUUGCUUAGAGAUUGGCCUUGUUUUUAGAAUGGCGGAAUUCUGGCCUCCCAAGGAGAGAUGUUUCUUUGAUGGAUGUGCUCUAGAAUUGGGAGUUUUUUUUUUCUCUCUCAUACUCUCCACGUUGUUCUAAUUUUUGCUUGAAAAAUUUGCCGCCUUGUAGGGAGUCAUUAUUAACUGGCUCUGCAUGUUGCCUUUGAUUGUAGGGGAGCUUUGGAGUUUUGGUCAUUGUCGUUACCCUGAUUGGUUCAUGAGAUUUCAUACAAGUUUGCUCUUUCCCUACUUUUUAUUAUUUUUUUAAAUUGUUUUUCCUGAGGACUGGUUCAAACCUUCUGGAUAUGAUGAUUGAUUUGCUCUGUGUCUACCUCGUUAGUAUUGUAGGAUUGAACAACUCGUGUGUUUCACAGGAACUAUUUAACUUCCUUAACAUGACUGUGGUUGCUGGAAUGUUGGUCUAGAUGAUUCGGAAAUUUGGUGACAACUUUACGUCUCCUGCCCAAGAUCAAAGGCUUUUUGCAUUGUUAAUGAAGGGAGUUCACAUUAUCUCUUCCUUUGUGCUUGAGCCAACUUAGUGGGUUUGCACCUGUAAAUGUCUCUGCGUCCUCUUUGUGCUAUGAGCUUGGAAUUGAGACGUGCAUCUUCUAAUGCAUCUAAAGGCUUUUCUAUCUCUCUCUCUUUUUUUUUUUUAAAGAAACCCUUUUUUCCCGUGUAUUUCUUUCUUGUGUUCUGAUAAUACUCUGUUUAAAGUUGUACUGAUUAUUGGUCUCGUUCCAAGAGUUCCCCUUCAUCCCAAACUCUUUAGUUCUGUUUGCUCUGAGGAGGUAACUGGCGUCAUCAGGUCUUGUUCAAAUAGAGUGUGUGAAUUCGAUUGUUUUCGUCCUGUUGUUACCUGUGCAUUUACAUUCUGGAGAGCUUCUUUUGUCAUAUGCAUCAUGAUGGUUAGCGUGGCUUCUGAAUGGUUAUAUGUCCUCCUCUUCAUGUUAGGAGCUUAGGUUGAAGAACUCAUCUGUGUAGUGGGCAUUGUUUGGAAGAGGUUCUAAUUCUCCAUCUUUAUUACUUGGAGGUUGUCUUUUUAGGCAGCUGUGGAAUUUCAAGAUUUGCAAUGUUUGGUAUGUAAUCAUUUUUUAUGGUUUUCUCAUAGAUGACAAUUUGUUAUUCAAAGAUUUGAGAUCAGUUAACUCUAUUUAUAUGUUGUUUCUAUAGAAUGAUAGCGUUGGGGGUACAACUAUCAGCAUUUAAACAAUAUGUGAAGGAGAGCUAUCCAAGGGAUGUGACAGUUUAAAGUGUUUGAAAGUUGUUCUUUAUGUCUCCACGCUGAUCACUGUGCAUAACUGUUUGAAAACCAACAGGUUCUGUGUCAUUUGACUUUGUAUAUUUGUGGUUUUUUGACAAUUUCAGGCUGUUGUAGUGAUACCUAAGGAAUUCCUUCUUCCAAUCAAAGCUAUCUACCUUGUUUUGAAGCAGCCUUCUUCCCCUGAGAUGCUCCGUUGGAAUGGUUCGGGUCAUUGGGUCGAUCAGAGAGCCUUGAAUUCCUUUCCUUUCUCAGCUCUUACAGCUGCAUUGUUUUGAACCUACGAGGAGAACGCUCCCCAGAAUGAUGAUUAGCUGGUUUAUCAUGGUUGUCUCUUCCAAUGCAGGUUGAAUUCCGAGACAAAUUGGCGGUUUACACAGCCUCGGAGGUAUUGUUCCAUUUUUCCUCCUUUCCUAGGAUUUUCUGAUCUGCUUUCUUCUCUGCCUUCUUGCUUCAUCUUUGUCUUGCAGGUUUUGUUUGCUUUCGGUGUUUUCUCUUUCUUUUCUUCUCCUCUGUCUGGCUUUCUUGCGAACUCAUAUCUGUGUAAAUAUAUAUUUCAAUGGAUUUCAUUUGGUACCUCCGGAUCGAAGCAUACUAUCUCAACUAAGAUGUCUGGGCAUUUUCUGGGCAAGCAUAAAACUCACACUGCACAUUGCGCGGUGUUCACCUCCUAGUUACCUUCUAAAUGCGGUUUACCAACUACCAAGAGAUAACACUGUCCAUCUUCAAAACAUUGUUUAUUUUCUGGUUAUGGUGUGAUUAUGAAACAAUGGCCUAGAGGUGAUCCUUGACAAAUUAAGUUCUAUUUUAUUUAGAAAUCCUUGACAGAUUUACUUCUCAAAACCUUGUUUAUCUUCUGGUUAUGGUAUGAUUUUGAAACAAUGGCUAGAGAUGAUCCUUGACAGAUUUAUUUAGAAAUCCUUGACAGAUUUACUUCUCAAUGCGUACAACUUUUGGAAGCC